GCUGGCGGCGUGCCUAACACAUGCAAGUCGAACGAAGCAAUUGAAGGAAGUUUUCGGAUGGAAUUCGAUUGACUGAGUGGCGGACGGGUGAGUAACGCGUGGAUAACCUGCCUCACACUGGGGGAUAACAGUUAGAAAUGACUGCUAAUACCGCAUAAGCGCACAGUACCGCAUGGUACAGUGUGAAAAACUCCGGUGGUGUGAGAUGGAUCCGCGUCUGAUUAGCCAGUUGGCGGGGUAACGGCCCACCAAAGCGACGAUCAGUAGCCGACCUGAGAGGGUGACCGGCCACAUUGGGACUGAGACACGGCCCAAACUCCUACGGGAGGCAGCAGUGGGGAAUAUUGCACAAUGGGCGAAAGCCUGAUGCAGCGACGCCGCGUGAGUGAAGAAGUAUUUCGGUAUGUAAAGCUCUAUCAGCAGGGAAGAAAAUGACGGUACCUGACUAAGAAGCCCCGGCUAACUACGUGCCAGCAGCCGCGGUAAUACGUAGGGGGCAAGCGUUAUCCGGAUUUACUGGGUGUAAAGGGAGCGUAGACGGCGAAGCAAGUCUGAAGUGAAAACCCAGGGCUCAACCCUGGGACUGCUUUGGAAACUGUUUUGCUAGAGUGUCGGAGAGGUAAGUGGAAUUCCUAGUGUAGCGGUGAAAUGCGUAGAUAUUAGGAGGAACACCAGUGGCGAAGGCGGCUUACUGGACGAUAACUGACGUUGAGGCUCGAAAGCGUGGGGAGCAAACAGGAUUAGAUACCCUGGUAGUCCACGCCGUANACGAUGAAUGCUAGGUGUUGGGGGGCAAAGCCCUUCGGUGC
rnacentral:rRNA from 1 species